rnacentral:lncRNA from 1 species
AUCUAGGGCCUUCCCAGUAGCAAGUUGUAGGAAGAAGAGAUAUCCAUUACUUGAAACAAUAUGGGAAAUUCGAUCGGCCCAAUCUACAAGGCCAAAUAAAUUUCUCCAAUAACAUCCUUCUGUGAACCAUCAAAGGCCAUCACUCUCACGUGGCUUUCCUUGACUUCCCUCAAAUGGAUUCAUAACUCCCAUAGAGUGGAGAGCAGACAAAUGUUGACUCCUAACCCUCCAUCGACCAGCACUCAGGAUACCACUUUGUCCCCACAUUUAACAGUGAUAUAAAGAGCUUUGUUGUGACUUGCGCCCUCGAUAGGAAGUUCGUCUCUUCUGAAAAUGAUCAUAUUUGCUUCGACUAUUUUCCCAAUUAUCGUGGCUAGCGCUUCACUGGUGGUGUUACUUGGAACACUUAACCUACUCAGUACUUUCAAUAGGACGUCCUUAUGACUGUUGGAACUCAUUAACAGAUCCAUGAUUGAUAUCUGUGCUGGAGUUUUCUUCAGCUGCUCCUCCACGAAAUACUCUUUGGUCGACAUUCUCUUCCAGAACUUGGCAGCUUCUGGGUCUGUUAUGUUCCGUCUUUGAAUUUUCUCUCUUCCCAAGUUCCCAUGAUUGACAUCUUCAGGAGCUUAGCAUCUCCCAGACCUAGUCAUACCAUGGGUUGCGGCAGAGUCUGUCAUUUUGGCCUUCCCCAUUUGCUGGUACGUCCAUGGGAUGGUUUUAUAUUCUCGACUUUCUUCGUCUCAUAUAGCAAUGGCAGAUUGUCGCUGAUAAGUCUGAAUAGUCACUGUAGGCAUCACUUGUACUGUAAUCAUUGGAGCCCUUUGAGGAGGGAUCCUGGCGGCUUCUGCAUUUCCUAUAGUGACAAUUGUUCUCUUUAGGUCAUACUCUUCGUCCAAUGUGAUCAUGUUAACUACCUGGUUUCGGUGAUUUGGUAGCGGAUUGCGAUUCACAUUGGGCGGAGCCGGAGUGCACUAAAUUGCUCCUCUUAGCUUAAAGCAACCUUCAGUAUCGUGCCCAGGUACAUUGGAAUGGUACACACACCUUUUUGUUGCACCAAAAUACUUGGAGGGGUAUUCAGGAACCCUUCCUUCAACUGGAUGUAUUAAUCAUGAUCUUCUCAAUCUCUCGAACAGUUAGGCCAAAGACUCAGCAAUCGGGGUAUAAUUUCUAGGACCCCUCUCUUCAAAGUUGGGAUGAGGGCGUGGUGCAUAAGUGGGUCAAUUUUGGUGAGUAGUGGUUUGGACAUGAGCAUAUGGUCGUUGUGGGUUUGGAUUGUUGUUGGCUCGAGGAAGGUUGUAUUGUGGUUAAGGGUUAUAAUAUGGCUGGGUGCUAUAGACUGGAGUGUAAGUAGGUAGUGGUGAAUAAUUGUUUGGGGAAUAGGAAGUGUUUCCGUGAUAUGGGUUGGGUUGAUAGUAAGGGACGACUGCCGAGACCUCCUCUUUCUUCUUCUUUCCGCUACAGUUUGACCCUGAUUGGGUGGACUUACUGGCCUCUUGCAGUGCUGCCAUGGAUUGUACUUUACCAGAUUUUAUGCCCUCUUCUAAGAUAUCUACCAUCUUGACUAGUUCGGGGAAUUUCUGUCCCAUCAUUUCCAUCAUCUUUUCAAAGCAUAUCCCUUCCUGGGCUCUGAUGAAAUACUUGGUUAAUUCACUGUUGUCCAGCGGAGGUUGUGCCCUGCCGGCCUCUAACCUCCACUAUCGUGCAUAUUCUUGGAAUAGCUGGGAUGAUUCUUUCUGUAGGUUCACCAGUGCGGACCGAUCGAGAGUGAUCUCUGUGUUGAAUCGGAAGUGAUUCAUGAAGUCCACUGCCAUAUCUUGCCAAGUUCUCUAAUUUCAUGGAUCCUGUCGAGUAUACCAGGUAAGUGCUUCUCCCGUAAAACUUCUUAUAAAUAACUUCAUCUUUAGAUUCUCAUUCCUCCCCACUCCGACUAACUUGUCAUAAUAUGCCAUCAAAUGUGCAUGGGAAUCACCUGUCCCAUCGAAGAUAUCGAACUUUGGGGGUUAAUACCCUCCUUGUAUAUCCAUAUUCAGAUGAAUACACAGAUCCUCGUAGUCCAAACAUUCACUUCAGCCAACUUGGAGGCUCUUCACUUACUUUCUCAAGAUUUGCAACUGCUCAUAUACUGACUUUUAUUCCUUACGCCUGAUUUCCCUCUCCAUUUCAGCAUAUUGGUUAAUCUCAUAGGGCACCCUGACCGUGACAGGCACUGUAAAGAUAGAUUCAGAAUUGGCAUAUAUAUGGGGAACAUACCGCUCAUGGGCAGCGGCAUGUGCCACAGGUAUGUGUUGGUUAGUGGUAAAACUGACUCCGUCAUGAGGAGUGGUGUGAGUUGCAUUGGUUGUGACAACUAGGUUUUGUGGUAUUUGAACGUACUAUGUUACGUAGGAAGUGUGGAUAGGGGGAUUUGGUGGAUUUGUGGGGGUUACUGGGGUAUGACUUGAGUAGUAGGAGCUGAAGUUGUGGUGUUGUUGUUUUGGCGUGAUGUGGAAGGAAAGUGGUCAGGGAUUGAAUCCAAAAAAGGGAAUCGAGGUGGUUGAGGAAAUGUUAUCAUGUCCAGGUGCACUAGUUUCUUGAUAUGUUGUACUUCCUCCCUUAGAGACUCCCUUUCCUGGGCCAUCCUGGCCACAUAUUCAUCAUUCCUGGUGUCGUCCUUUUCCCUCGAUCGGCCCGAGUUGUCGGCUAUGACCAGAACAUAUUCAGUUGGGUUUUUUGUGGCUGACAUAUUUCACUUUGACCUUAGAUUGUAUGGUGGUUCCGCCAGUUUUGGUCGACACAAAUCAACUUUCUUUUCUUUUCGGGGGUAAUAAUAAAGAAAAAUAAAAAUAAGAGGAAAGAAAAAAAAAGAAAAAAAAAACAAGAGUCAGUUUCUUCAUUUAUACGAGCAGAAAAUCACAAAGAGCAACUAAUUCGUGCAUUAAGGCUAACGUAAUUCCUAGAAUUCGUGGGGACCUCUCAUUGCCGGAGGUAGACCUAAAUCGUAUAUAUUUGACAAACACUUAGACUUGACACAUCUAGAUCCGAAGCAAUUUUGUUUUUAUUGAUAAUUUGAACUGAUAUAAGUGGGAACAAAGGUUACAUCACUGUUUCACAUAACUGCCUGGGCUUGGACAACUUGCCCUUUUGGAAAGUAAAAGAGAACACUUGGGAUAAGGGUACAAUGUGGGAAAGAAGGGAAAUCAACCAACUAUAAUAACCAUCCAGUGAGUCAUUUCCCAUCUCCUCCUCUUUUUCUGGCUCCUCUUUCGGAUCCUCCUCUGGGUCUUCUUCAAACUACUCCUCGUUAUCGUUGAACUCUAACUCCUCCUUCGGAUCUUCUUUUGGCUCUGUUCUAGACUUUAUUUGGAUGUACUCCACUACCCGGUCAUCGUCUUCAGUAGGUGACAACAUAUGAUCGAUGGAUCCUGGGACCACUUGAUGAUGCAUUGAAGUAGUCACAGGGUAAUGUGGAAGAAUCUCAUGGUAAAUCUAUAAAGCAGCCACUACGUCCUCUAACCAGGCUAUACCUUCUCUGCUUGGCCAGGCUAGCUCUUCUUCCUCAUUAAUCCAGACAUAAUACUCAGGAGUGCAACACGAGUUUUGACCCAUCAGCAUUGUGACCAGGUCUUUCCACUCUUAUUGGAGCCUUCUUAUCCUGGGAAUUGGAAUCUGCCCGUUGUACUCAUCUUCGUAUAAUGUUGUCCUUGUCCACAGAGGCACAUAUUGGAUCAUCCCAAACUAUCUGAGGACCCGCAGGGGUGAAUAAGGUUGAAUACCUUCAAGUCCGAUCAGGUCAAUGAAGUAUUUAUGAGGAGUCCUCAAGAUUGCUCUUCCACCUAACCAUGAUAGCUUCUAGUUGAUCCAUUCUCCACUCAGAUUGGUCAGCAUUUCCCUCCACUCUUCUUGCCCAUGUGAGGAGACCCAAUGUCUCAUUCUUUUAUUGUGGUUGCGGAUCAUGUUGCUGACGCCCACAAAGUAGUUGAUGGUGGCCUCUCGCUGGAAGAAAUGUUCAGUAUCCCAUAUCUGAAGCAGCAAGUUACAACCUUUAAAGAAAUCACACCCUCGUGCACAUACUGACAAAUCCCUCGGUAUGUCAGCUAACACCAUCGGCACCAAAGUAGCUUGAAGAUUGCCGUGGAAGGUCGCCAGAACCACAGGUAAUAGAUUGAUGUUGAUCCGACCCCUUCUCUGUGGGUAGACCAAUAGUCCCAAUAGUGCCAUUGAGAAAGUGAUAGGCCUGAGACUCUCCCACAUCGCUUGGUCACAUUAAAACUCUCCUGAAUACCACUCGUAGCUUUUAUGGUGCCCAAAUCUGUCGAACAGCUGGUCGAGGCUCACCCAUUUAUCCUCAAUACUUCUGAGACUUCUAUUUUUGGCCAGGCCUAAAGCAUUCAAAAAUCGAUAACCGGGCAUAGUAAUUGGCAAUAUCGUCUUCCUUCUGUUGAACGGCAGCUCCGUGAAACUUGUGACUUCCUCCAAUGUUGGUACUAAGUCAUAGUCGGCAAAUUUUAACACCACCUUAACCAAAUCCCAAAAUUCUAUCAACAGGCGAGUGAGCACCAUGUCUGCUCGGAUGGUUAGCAAAGCGGUUAAUUCCCCCAGGUGAGUUCGAACCUCAUCUUCGUGUUCCCAGCGAAUAUUCUUCCACCAUUGCUUCAAUUUAUGUGGCGCUCCCAUUACCAUGUUAAUCUCAGGGAUGUUUCAGUUGAUUUUCAUUCUCUGAGGUGGGUAAAAGAAAGUUGUUUUGUAAGCAUUUGCUUCGGAACUUUAAGUGUCUUGUCACGUUUGUUUGUCUUUCCACAGAAGUCUUGUCGUUGGGUGCAUGACCCGUUGACACUAGGGUGACUUUCCUAAUUGUGUGUCGAUGCCAAGGACCGACUCACCUAAGGUUUAUGCAGUGUUGACACUCAAUUUUGACCCUCCGUAUUUUAAAAUUAACUUCUGUAGGCUUCCUAGUCAAAAAAGAUAAAAAUAUAGCUUAUGCACAUUAUUUAGCUUUAAUGCAAUUUAUUGAUAAUUACUCCUAUUUUUACAAAAUAUGGAAAUUUUUAUCGUUUUAUUGCAAUUAGUUAAAUACUACAGUUUUUGUGCGUUUUUCUAAAUUUUAAGCGAUUUAUUGAUAAUGGUCCUAUUUUUUAAACAUUAGGAUAUUCUUUCAAUUUAUUGUCUAUUCAAAAAUAAAAUAAUAAUUACUACAACUUCAUUGUAGUAGUUAUAUUUUAAAUAAAUACUAUGAGAUUUUUUAAUUAAAAAAGUAAUAUUUUAUUUUGUAGCACAGUCUAUUUAAUUACAUCGAAGCCAGUAUAAUUAAUUUUAAAAUAUGGGUCAAGUCCGAUUAAAUUCAAUGUCCCGUCCACAUUUGAUGUGACAAGAUAUUGACGCGACAUGACACUGAUGUGACAUGUAAUGUAAUGUGACAUGACAUUGAUGUGAGAUUAAUGUGACAAGACACAUUUUCAUUUCAAGCACAUGUCUUUCUUCUUAUUUUUUAUUUAUUCUCUUACUAAAAACAAGAACCACAUAUUUUUACAUACACCCUAUAAUAAUAUAUUUGCUUGCACUACACACACAAAAUAAACCAUCAGAUUUUUGGAAAGGGUUUUAAAACCCUAAAGCUCUCAACAUCUCUUUCUCUCAACUCAAGAGAAGCUACAGACGCCAACUGCCCUUAGAGCUCCAUAUCUCUCUUCCUCUUUGAGAGACGCUUGCCAGCCUCCUCCCGUUUCUACUGCAGGCCAGCCACCAGCAGCCAUGGUUAGCACACUCCAUCAACACUGCUCCUUCUUCCCCUCACAUCAUUUCUCGUUUGUUGCUAUGCCGCCGCCGGAAGUGAUGACCGGCAGCCGGCCAUCGUCCAAAUGGCCAAAACCUCACUGUCCCACUCUCCUCUCACGCGUAUCCUCGCUGCUUUCGCGCUUUGGCUGGGGAAGUGACCGGAAAGGCCUAGAUAAGAAGCCUUAAAGCUUUCCGGCGACCUUUGUGACAUCUUGAUGGCGCUGCUCUAGUGCCUAUCGUGGUAGUAGCACCGCCGACAAAUGUAACCAAGAUUAUAUACUAUUCACUGUUGCUUAGUCUUCUCCACACCACUACUCGCCGGAAAAUAGUCGCUCUCACUGGAAAAUCUUAGAACUGGUCGAAAACUUUGUUAUACGGCACCACUAUUUUGUAUUGUAUUUUUCUUUCUCUUUCUCUUUGCAGACUCUUAAGUCCAUACAUAAAAAAUAAUAAAAGAGGUGGAAGAAGAUUUCUCACCGAAGUUUCAUC